GAUGAACGCUGACAGAAUGCUUAACACAUGCAAGUCAACUUGAAUUUGGGUUUUUAACUUAGGUUUGGGUGGCGGACGGGUGAGUAACGCGUAAAGAACUUGCCUCACAGCUAGGGACAACAUUUGGAAACGAAUGCUAAUACCUAAUAUUAUGAUAAUAGGGCAUCCUAUAAUUAUGAAAGCUAUAAGCGCUGUGAGAGAGCUUUGCGUCCCAUUAGCUAGUUGGAGAGGUAACGGCUCACCAAGGCGAUGAUGGGUAGCCGGUCUGAGAGGGUGAUCGGCCACAAGGGGACUGAGACACGGCCCUUACUCCGACGGGAGGCAGCAGUGGGGAAUAUGGGACAAUGGACCGAGAGUCUGAUCCAGCAAUUCUGUGUGCACGAUGAAGUUUUUCGGAAUGUAAAGUGCUUUCAGUUGGGAAGAAACAAAUGACGGUACCAACAGAAGAAGUGACGGCUAAAUACGUG
rnacentral:rRNA from 1 species